CCCUUAGAUGUUCUGGGCCGCACGCGCGCUACACUGAUGCAUUCAACGAGUCCAACCUUGACCGAGAGGUCCGGGUAAUCUUUGAAACUGCAUCGUGAUGGGGCUAGAUUAUUGCAAUUAUUAAUCUUCAACGAGGAAUGCCUAGUAAGCGUGAUUCAUCAAAUCGCGUUGAUUACGUCCCUGCCCUUUGUACACACCGCCCGUCGCUCCUACCGAUUGAAUGUGUUGGUGAGGAGCUCGGAUUGGCAGCAGUUGGUGGUUCGCCACCGGCUAUUGCUGAGAAGUCCUCCAAACCGCCCCAUUUAGAGGAAGGAGAAGUCGUAACA
rnacentral:rRNA from 1 species